UUUAAAUAAAUAUCUACACAUAUCUUUAAAUAAAUAGUUUUAUUAUUUAUUUUAAUACUUAUUUGAGCAAUGGAAAAAUAUCUAGAUUUUUAUGCUUUUUCUUAGUCAUUAAGCUAGCCCUAUUUCAUGGCUUAUAAAUUGAGAACUUUGUCUCAAUUUUCACCACACAUUUUCAACAGCCUAGGGAGAGGGUGAGAGGGUGAAAGUAUGAUCAAAGGAAGUUGAGAAGAAGAAGAAGAAAAAAAAAAUAAUAAUAAGGGUGACUCUCAAAAAGGAGAACACCGAACUGUGAGAUGCAUACAAUCAGUCAGUCCACUUCCUGUAUAAAGCAACAAAGAGGAUAAAACAAACAAGCUAAUCAGGGCCGUCUAUUCUCAUCACUAAUCAAGUUAUCUGCUCCAAAAUUGCGUCUUUCAGACGCGAGAUCUGAAUCGGUAACUCUCUCCGGUUCGAACUCGGCGAGGCGACUCAUCUGCUCUUCGACUCAGUUUCAAUAAGAAGAUCAAGUUAACCCUAAAAGGCUUGAAGAAGAGGAAUCAGAAAUCAAAGAGAAGAUUCAAAACGAAAAGGACAACGAUGACGAAGAUGAAGAUGAUGACUUUGAUAUGAACAAAGAGACCGGUGAGAUUGGAGGACCUAGAGGUCCCGAGCCCACUCGUUACGGCGAUUGGGAGCGGAACUGUCGGUGCUCUGAUUUCUGAUUACUUUUUGAUUGAUUGUUUGUUUGCUUGUUAUUAUUUAUGUUGAAAUCUUGAUGGAUUUAGGAACUUGAAAUGUGAUGUUAGGUUUAUAAUUUGGUUGAGUAUAAUGAUCAAAUUAAUGAAUAAAAAUGAUUGAUUGAAUCAAUCAAUUAUAUUGUUGUUACU